AAUCAACGCUGGCGGCGUGCCUCAGACAUGCAAGUCGAACGAGAAAGUUUCCUUCGGGAGACGAGUACAGUGGCGUCCGGGUGAGUAACACGUGGGUAAUUUACCUUUGGGUGGGGAAUAGCAGCCGGAAACGGCUAUUAAUACCGCAUAAUGCAGCGGCUCGACAUCGAGACAGUUGUUAAAGCGGGGAUCUGACAAGGACCUCGCGCCUAAAGAGAAGCCUGCGUCAGAUUAGCUAGUUGGUAGGGUAAUGGCCUACCAAGGCGACGAUCGGUAGCUGGUCUGAGAGGACGACCAGCCACACUGGGACUGAGACACGGCCCAGACUCCUACGGGAGGCAGCAGUGGGGAAUAUUGGACAAUGGGCGCAAGCCUGAUCCAGCGAUGCCGCGUGUGUGAAGAAGGCCUGGCGGGUU
rnacentral:rRNA from 1 species